GUUGCAGGAACAAGGAGAUGCUUAGCCUAAGAAUCAGCAGGUCCUGGUCAAAAGCACUGCUUGGUCCUCUUCCUGACUUCCAUAGGAAAAAAGCAGCAAUGAGAGGCUAGCAUAGGAUGUGGCAACUCCUGAAUCUGAACAGCUGUCAGCUUUAGGACUGGGGGAUGUACUGUUGUGUAAUGUAUGUGGUAGCACUUGUUACUCUUGGUUCCACUAUGCAUAGCCACAAAAUAUCUUAAAAUAAAUUGGCCAUAUGUUUUCACAAAGUGGGUUAUACUCUGAAAUGACUUAUCUGUUUUGUUCAAGAAUUCUUCAUGUCCUGUUAUGCCUUUUUCAUUCAGAUGGCUCCUUGUUUUAAUACUGCAUGUGUUAUAUGGUAUCCAGAGUUCUGGUUUUGUUCCAGUGAUGUUUGCAGUUCAGCACUAUUUUCCUCAAGCUCUGUUUAAUAUUUUCAUCCCCAGAGUGGCACAGUGCAGUGGUACUUUUGUUUUGCUGCUGUAUUUGUGUUCUCUGUAUUUUCUUGAAGUGAUUUAUCUUGCAGGUAUGUAAAUAUGUGUCACUCAAUUUCAUACUAAAAUACCAACAGAAUAGCUAUUUCCAAGAUGCAUUUUUUCAUACUCUAUUUAGAUGCUAAUUAGAAUUCAUCUCUUAUACAGAUCUUGCUCAUCUUUUAUAUGGUUAAAUGUGCCUCCUGAAAAAACCAUCACCUGCUUUCCCUCCCAGUGGCUGGGAUCUGCUUCACCAUUGCCUUUCUCUAGGGCUGUUAGUAAUGCAGAAGAGCUGUUCUCAUCACUGAUGAUGUAUUUGUGUGAUAUUUAUAACAGGGGUGAUGGAUAACUGGAUUUGUCUGUAACUCGUGCAUAUUCUGAGGAUACAUUCAGUGUUUUAUCUCAUCUCUACAGUGGCAUCUUUGAGCAACAUCCGCAGCUAUUAAUGAAAAUGCUUCAGAAUAGAUCUAGCAAUAACAAGAUUUGAAUCCCACAUUCUUUGUUUUCUGUGGUUGUAUGUACACAUUUGAAACCCUGUCUCCUACCACAGCAAGUUCCUGUGCAGAAGAGUAGUUAUGAGUUGAGACUGAGGCUGUGAGAGGUGAAGUAGCUUUUAAAGUCAGUUCAGAAGGUCUCUUAAAUUGUAGGAUUGAGCUUUAACCACUAAGUUACUUUUCUUUUAAAUACUCGAUGACUUUACUAUGCUUUUAUACUUCUUUCAUUUGUGAUCUGUUCUAGUCUAGUUUAUCCCCUUUUCCUUUCUUAAAAAAAAAAAAAACACACAUAAAAAAUCUGUCAUUACAUGAGCCUGUUUUAUUUGCCUUUGCACUUAGCCUUCUUAUUUUUUUUCUUCAUCAAUUUUAAUCUUAACUUCUGUUUCCCUUUGGCUUUGCAUGGACUCUUUUUUUUCCCUUCUGCUUGAAGAUCAUGUUGUUUUAAGAAUGUUUUCCCCUCUGUCCUGUUCCACCACUUGGGGGGUAUUUAUUUGUAUAAACUUCUUCACCAGAGUGACAGAUACUAUUUUUCUUAUCUGAUUCAUGUGUGAUAUUCAUGAAUUACUACUAUGUAAUACCACAGAUCUUCUCUACCUUUAGCUUUCUAAAGAAGUCAUUCCAUUCUUGCCACAGUGCAGUCAGCUAUGCUUAUGUCAGUCCUAAUGGUUGUUUGUCCAACAUGUUGUGCGAGAGCUCCAGUGAUGGAGGCUGUACAACUACCCAGACAAAUCCUUUUCAGUAUCUCAUUAUUCUUAAUGCUUGAAGUCUAAUUCUCCACUCCCUUUGUGUCUUACCUGAGCUCUUUUUCUGUUCUUAAGGCCAUUAUUACUUCUGCAAUGUACCAAGGAUGUGGAAUGGGGAUUUCUUUUAUCUGCAUGUUUAAAAAAAAACUAUUGUCUCCCCAAUUUACUUUCAUUUAACUAACACUGCUGCUAUUAAUCUUUCUUGCAUAAGACGUCUUUUAAGAUGGAUAGGUCUGUUACUGCCUGUUAGUGUAGGAAGAGUCUGAAGGACCACAAAUAGUAAAUGGGGAAAAAAGUUGGACCCAACAGUACUGGCCCAACCACGCUUGACAGUCUUCAGCCUGGUUCAGCUGUUGGUCAGUUCUGCUGAGUCUCUACUGUGUUUGUAGAACGCCCCAUCCGUGAUUAUGGAUGUAUUUUAAGAUUUGCUAUGAUUAAAUUAAUGUUCAGUAGGUGUGAUCUGUGGAUAUGUCACAAAGGAAAACUCUGGCUUGUGUUUCCAGGCUCUCCUUAGCACCUUUGGAAUUUCCUAUCUCAUUACAGCCCUCAUCUCUUAUUUUACUUUUCAAUUGCUAAGUUGGUACUUCCCACUGAAGUUUGGAGAUCUACUAACUACCAUAUAGUGCCUCUUUUCCCAUAAAAUCUCAAGCUGGGUACACUUCCCAGAAGUAUUCAGAUACACAGACACAUAUAUAUGUUUCAGUCAUUCAUCCUUAAAAUAUGCUGUCAAAGCCAUUCUUCUACUGUUGGAACUCUGUUCUCAUGUUUCCUUUUGUUCUGUGGGAGUUGCUAAGAUUUCCCAUUGAAAUUUAUUUUAAAUGUUUGUUCUUUUGUGCAGAUUCACUGCACAGUCUUGUCUCCCACAGUGUAGAUGGGUUACAAUGGAGACGAUGGUAACCUGGCAGUGAUACAGGAGCACAUUACUUGCAGCUGCAGUGAGAUUUCACCCAGCAUUCUGUUGCAGAGCACUUCACACUUCCAAAUUAAUCAUGGUUUUCUCUCUGUUCUCAUUGCUUGGGCAAAUAUUUCAGUGUUGUGUAGACUUGGAGCAGUGAUCUAUGUGAGAACAAAGAUUCUUGUUUUCCUGCCUCUUGUAUAUGCUUACCUACCAAGCAAGCUUUUUAACACUUGAUAAAAUAAGUCUGUUUCCAUCAUGUAAUGAUACGUUUUUGUAAAUCUGAAUACGAGUAAAGAAAUUCAUGUCUGUUGCCAAAUGUUCUGGCUGGAUGCCAUCCCUGGUGUUCUGGCUUCAUCCAGAUGAUGAAUGUUCCCUGUCAAGCCUGCAGCCUAGUGAGAGAGGACAAUGGUACAGGAGUACUGUAAUUAUCUAAUCAACUUUGCUUUAGAAUGUUAAGCAAAUGCAAUGCUUUAAUACUCUGGUUUUACUAUGGCUGUUAAUUAGCACGUUUAAAUGCAAUUUAUACAGCAAAACUGAAUAGAGGAAAUAUUCACUUUUAAGUUACUUUACUCCCCUCUAGUGGUCUUAUACCAUAUGUACUUUUAUAUAACGCCUAAUCACAAUAGAUUUAAGGAUGAUGUUAAUAAUCUGAAAGAAAAAAAAAAAAGAAAGAAACAACUGUUAACUACUCACUCCUCUGCUCAUUAUCUCUUCCUGCAGUGAAACCAGACAUUUGUCAAUGUAACUCCCUAAACUAAACUGUUCUUUUUAUGUUGACUCUAGUAAAACCCAGUCUGCACCCACAGCUUUAAAAUCAACAUGCAUUAACAAAUCCUAAAGCUGUGUACUGAGCCAUUUUUUCCCUAUGCCUUCCAACUUGUUUCAAAGGGACUUUAGUUUCAACGUUAGUGACUCAAACUGCAACCAAGGAUGUAGAAACGUCAGCAGAAACCAAUCACAUCUGUAUUGCUCUAUUUUCAUUCUGUGACAUAUGUCAGUUUUAUUGUGCACCUAAUGUCAUUUGAGCCUCUACAAGCUGUGGGACAUGCAGAGGCUGCUGAAUGACUGGGAUCUGCCUUUUAAGCUUGCCAACUGGCCACUUUGUGGAGGAUGAAGCUUCUACUAGCUGGGAAACAGAUGAGAACAUACAGGAUCAGAAUGGAAACUGCCACUUGUCAAUAAUCCCCCUGGCUCUUUGCUCAUAUUAUUGAUGUUGUAACCAACAAUGCAGAGGUAUGUAGCACAGGCUUUGUAAAGCAGCAGUUACAUUUCUUGCCAUAUUUGUUCUUGUGUUCUAGGGUCUGUUUUUAAAGGCUUUGAAAUGAGUUGCUUAUACAGUAGGCUUGGAGAACAUAAGAUGCAUGACUCCUUUCUCCUUUUUCUGCUCAGAAAUUUAUUAAGAAAUAUGUACAUUGAGGAUUUGCUUUUCAGAAGCCAGCUGCUCUUUUCAAACAACCUGUUUGGAACUUGCUCUUUUUUUCCUAGAUUGUCUUGGAGUAUUAUUUGGAAGAAAAGAAAGGGAAAGAAGAAGGACACAGUCAAUAAAGAAAAGGUCAUUAACAGAUAGUUCUAAUAAACAGGAACUGAGCCAGUGGAUGCUUUGACUCUACUUAUCAUUUUGUAUGUCUGAGCAGUCCCUUUGACCAAUUCAUCAACCAAGGAGUUUAACUUGUUCUCAACUCUUCUCUUGGACAGCAGAGUCAACAGUCAAGCAAGAUCAAAAUCAAUCACAUGUACACGUGUAGGAAGCAGCUCUCUGCAUCAAAUCCAUGUAGGAGUUCCAUAGGCUUGCAACUUCAGGAAUGUGUAUGCUCCUCCUGCAAGAAGCGAACGGGUCAUUUAAGAGCUCUGUGACUUAGCAUGGAGAUGAAGAGCAACUUGUGAAGCAAACCUAUCAAAGGAGUUGUGGUGUAUAAAGAACCUUGCAGCUGACGGGCAUUUUGAGACAAUGAGGACUGCCUGCUGAUGCUUUAUGAGCCUGGUGGAACAGCCCCCGCGCUGAGUCUCACAUCCUACAGAAGGAGAGGGAGGAAUGUUUGCCUGACGUGAGAAGGACCAGCUCACUGCAGGGCAGGAAAGGGGAAGGAUGGUGCUUCACAGCCCUGCUGCUGGACACAGAACACUGGCACCAAAAACUUCAGUUCUCCAGUUUUAUGGAGAUAGAAUAGCAGGAUGAACAGGUAUGUCUGGAAAGAUUAGCUCAAUCCUAAUAAUGCCGUCACAGUAUAGAAUGGAGUAUUUCUAUCUGUGAUGCUGAUAAGCAUGAGGCAGUGCACUGUGGUAUGGCUUGCUAUGUAUCUUUUAUUAGAGGAAUGCACCUGAUUUGUUUUAAAGGGUGUGUGUGUUUAGGGGAUUGGGGGGGAGUUGCUAUGUAAAUAUUUUGGGUCAUUGCAGUUGGGUAUCAGCUUGGACACAAAGAUAGUCUGUCUUCAUCCCCUGAUAUAAUUCAUUUAACUAUGACUAUUCUCCCCUGCUUUUUGGCUCCGGUUGUAAUCCAUACCACCCUCAACCUCCAAGAAAUGCUAUCAGAUCCUCUGGGGUUGUCACUGACAAUCAUCUGGAAGAACUGACGUUCCGAAUAAGCAGUUGAUUAUGUGUGAUGUCAAAUCCCUCUAGGCACAUAACCAUAAUGCUAUAUGCUUUGUUCUCAGCAUCUCUCAGUUCUGGAUUCGAUCCCAGUUAAUCUGAACGUUCAGCUUUUUGCCAUUAGGGACGGUGAUCAACUGGAUCAUCAGAAUUACUGCUUUGUUUUCUUGAAUGAAACCUUUGAGUGGAUGACAAGUACUUCUGGGGCUGAAUAGAAAUCCAUUUAUGUAGGUGUUCUUCAAAGCCCAAAAUGUUUGAAAAUACUCAAGUGCUAUUAGGAAUGUGCAUGGAUAACCCUUAUUCAUAGCUCUGCUGAGCAGCAGAGAGCAGAAGUUGCUGUAAAUCUUUUGCCUGUGACAGUGUAUUUUUCUAGUGGUUGGAGAACCCAGGUUGGCACUAUCUUAAAGCUGUGAAUAAUUUAAAUACUUCUAGUAUGUAAACAUAUUAUUUAAAAUGACACAUCACCAGUUGAUGAUGUGCUGCAUAUUUCACUAGAUUAAUUAACGGACAGCCCACAUAUCAUGUAACAUUACUUCAUAUAGUGUAAUCCAUAUUUCUGCAACCAUGCAAGAUACCAAAUAAUACAUCAUUAAAUGUCCUCGAAGAUAUGAGAAAAUCAUCCCCUUAGCCUGGCAUAUAGGGUGGACAUUUUUUUUUAAUUCAUCUAGAAAAUUGAAGCUGUUGCAACAGAGCACGCUGCAAACAAAAGAACAUUAGAAUAAAUAGUAAACCAAAAUUCCUGUUACAACUUACACUUGCUUACCAGUAGAUUCUAUAAACAUAACUGCUAAAUAUCUAACAGCAUUUUAUUUUUGGCACUGGUGUGGCUUAAAGAUACUGACCUCCUAUCUUCGUGAAGUAGAUGGUCAGAUUUUAUUGUUCAUGCAGGUAAGUGAAGGAAGAGAAUUGCAUGUCAGUGUUCUGCACCUUCUGGAUUUCUUAACUGCAAGGAGAGUUGCUACCACCUGGUCUCUGCUACUGUAAAUGAGUUUUACUUUGCCACUCCUAAGGAAAUGCAAAAUCCUUUGCACAGUGUUAUACUGUCACCUCAGUAAGCGUUGGCUUGAAAAUAUCUGCUCUAUGAAAUCCUUUUGUGGUAGACUGACAUGAAAAACAAGCAUGAGAAAUCAAAUUCCUAUUUAUCCACAUUGAUUGUAGCAGGAAAAUGAACGUUUCAGAUUUAUUGAACUCCCUCACAUUUCUGUGGUGCAAACUACAAAUCAGUAACAUUCUGCAUGCAAACUCAGUUAAUUGCACUGUGUCCUUUUGUACAGGCUACAAAACAGUGGCACAGGGUUUGGGUUGUUACUGUCUCGGGCCUGUUCAGACACACUGAAGAGCUGUGCCCUGAACAGUAUUACUUCUUUCUUUUGUCAGUAUCUCCUAUUAUGUCACUGCAUGUCUAUAUUGUACCUGUGUUUUCCUGUUGCCGUGUUAAUCAGUGACACCAGAGUGGCCAAAAUCAAAUGACUGCCCAUUACCUCUAUGAUAAAAAUCAGACAAAAUGCUUUGAAUGUUGUUACAGUGCCAAGCACAUGCAGCUACAGCACUUCCUGUAGUAGCUUAUGUGCUUCUGUGAAUGUUUAGAAGGAUAUUGCACGUGUGUUAUAUAUAUAUGUGUGUGUGUGUGUGUAUAUAUAUAAAACAAAUAGUACUGUAAAAGGAGAUUUAAACAUCUUAUUUGAAAUAGCAUCAUUUUAUUUCGUCAUUGUACUUAAGCUGCAAACAGCCUUGUACCAGUGAGUCUGACAUGGGCCUUCUUUCCCUAAGACAUUGUACCAGCAGCACGCAGCACACUCGGCAUUACCUUUGGCAGUGGCUUGGCAGCUGUGCUGGUGCUCAGCUAUCCCUGCCAAAAUACUAGUAAGUGAAGAGCAGCUGAAUGCAUAAAUAUCGGUUAUUCUCAGUCCACGAUGGUUGCUUUUGCUGGUUUUGUCUUUUCUGUAUAUGUUGGAACAGGGUUGUUCUGGUCUGUAUCUACUGUCUGGGGAAUCUAACCUGGGACUGAGUUCUGACUAUUAACCAACACUGCCCGGACACUUCAUUCAGAGUUGCAGUUUCUUACAUUCCAGGGUGGCGGUGGGUUUCUUCAGAUUUGUGAGCCAGCCUCAGCAGAGCAUGCCAGCAACAAAACAAACAGAACCCCAGAAGGACAAACUGCAGGAUGUGUUUUCUUUCCUUGAUAAGGACGAGGGAUGCAGUCGUUCCGGAGCUGUCUGUACAGAAUUAGGAGCAUAUACGGGUGUGCUCUCUCACCCUGAGAAAGCCACAGAUCUGUUAGAUAUUAGGGCCAGGUUAUGGCUUGAGUUUUCUUGGUCUUGUAAGUACUGAGCUGAAGUCUGGUGCUCGAGCUGUUGCUGUCCCUGUUCAUUGCAGGGGAGCUGGACUGGAGGGCCUUUAAAGGUCCCUUCCAACUCAAACAGUGCCGUGAGUUGGAGAAGAGCUUUUCAUUGACAUCAGUAAAUUACAGCAUGGUUAGCAACUCCACCUUAGCAUUAGGAGCUGUGUGCGAUUUUGAGAGCAGAAAAGCAUCUCUUGUGGAAUUCUGGAAGUUAAUGUACGGAGCUUUCUUGUUACCCCUACCAUCCUGCCUGUGUUUUAUUUCCAGCGGGCACUCCUUGGUGCAGACUCGUCAUUCCCCCGGCCCUGUGCUAACAGUUUGGAUUGUAUGGGUUGUGUUGAUUCUAGCGUGGGCCACAUUGAAUGUGUUUGUUUUCCACCACUGAAAGUUGAUCUAUGUCAUCCUUGUGUGCGAAUUGCCCCUGCCAGGGGUGGAGUGUGCAACUUCCACUUUGAGGAGUUCAUCUUUCAUUUUGCUAAAAAAUAGCUGCUGGAGACCAAGAAUCAAGAAAUUCAGUGCUAUAAGACACACAGUUAUUCACAAAAGUACUCACUGUGCCUCUCUUGCCCUUAACUCAGCUUUCCUGUAAACCAGGGUCAGAAUUGUGACUGUGAUAAUGCUAAUAAAAUCUAUCAGAGCCACAAAUGAACAAAUCCACUGCUUCUACCAGUGGAAUAAAGCAAAACUGGAUCUAUGGCAUUAAGAUUUUCCACUUAAUUCUUGGUUUCUCUCAUUUAAAUGGGGCCACUUUGAUAGUGUACUGACCCACGUGUACCAAACUUGGACUCUUGCUCUUUCAGCUUUUGCCCCAGGGCUUUCAAAGCGGUGGGUCCCUAUCUCUGCCAUGCUAAGUAAAAGGCAGUAUUGUCGGCUAUGCGGGAUCCUUGAAGGUGAAGCUCCCCUCGCUGCUGUUUUUCCUUAUAAGGGAAGUAGAGAUGCUAUGUUUUACUUUUUGAACGCUGUUAACUGGAUGCAUAAUACUGUACCUUUAGAACUCGUCUGUUUCAGACGGAGCUGCGGCAGUCCCCCGUGUCGCUGUAGGCGUUUACUCUGCAGCUUAACGUAACCGAGCUCUCGCUGCUGCCUCCCCCUCCCGGGACCCGUGGGGUGACCGCAGCGGGCAGCGGCCGAGCCCCGACCCCGGGCAGCACCGCCUGCGGGCCGGGGUCCGUCGGGGCGCAGGUGCCCUCAUGCUCGGGGCCGCCGAGCGCCCGACACGGCCGCCUUCCACCCCCGGAGCUCCCGGGGUGGCGGUUCGGGGG